rnacentral:sRNA from 1 species
GGGGUCUGACUACGCUCUAUACCCUUUGUGACAUACCUAACCGUUGCUUCGGCGGGCAGGGGAAGCCUCUCGCGGGCCUCCCCUCCCGGCGCCGGCCCCCACCACGGGGACGGGGCGCCCGCCGGAGGAAACCAAACUCUAUUUACACGACGUCUCUUCUGAGUGGCACAAGCAAAUAAUUAAAACUUUUAACAACGGAUCUCUUGGUUCUGGCAUCGAUGAAGAACGCAGCGAAAUGCGAUAAGUAAUGUGAAUUGCAGAAUUCAGUGAAUCAUCGAAUCUUUGAACGCACAUUGCGCUCGCCAGCAUUCUGGCGAGCAUGCCUGUUCGAGCGUCAUUUCAACCCUCAAGCACCGCUUGGUUUUGGGGCCCCACGGCACACGUGGGCCCUUAAAGGUAGUGGCGGACCCUCCCGGAGCCUCCUUUGCGUAGUAACUAACGUCUCGCACUGGGAUCCGGAGGGACUCUUGCCGUAAAACCCCCAAAUUUUUUACAGGUUGACCUCGGAUCAGGUAGGAAUACCCGCUGAACUUAAGCAUAUCAAUAACCGGAGGAA